rnacentral:rRNA from 1 species
CCUACGGGAGGCAGCAGUCGAGAAUCAUUCACAAUGGAGGCAACCCUGAUGGUGCGACGCCGCGUGGGGGAAUGCAGGUCUUCGGGUUGUAAACCCCUGUCAUGUGGGAGCAAAUUAAAAAGAUAGUACCACAAGAGGAAGAGACGGCUAACUCUGUGCCAGCAGCCGCGGUAAUACAGAGGUCUCAAGCGUUGUUCGGAAUCACUGGGCGUAAAGCGUGCGUAGGCUGUUUCGUAAGUCGGGUGUGAAAGGCGGGGGCUCAACCCGCGGACGGCACAUGAUACUGCGAGACUAGAGUAAUGGAGGGGGAGCCGGAAUUCUCGGUGUAGCAGUGAAAUGCGUAGAGAUCGAGAGGAACACUCGUGGCGAAGGCGGGUUCCUGGACAUUAACUGACGCUGAGGCACGAAGGCCAGGGGAGCGAAAGGGAUUAGAUACCCGGGUAGUC